rnacentral:lncRNA from 1 species
UCAUGGUAGCCAAGAGCAAUAGCCUAAUUAAGAUUAUCUAGUUGUUGAAUAGUGAGGGGCAGGAACUGCGAUUGUUUCCUUCAUGCAAGUCUGCUUGCUUUAUGCCUUGUUAUUCAUCAUAAUAGCCUUCAGCAACUCGACUGUGAAUUGCUAAUAGCUGACUGCAGAACGUGAAACAGAAGCACCUCUUGGGUCAGGAGUUUUGCCCGUUGUAGCAUCACAAUGUAAUCCUAUUUGAGCUAUGGAUUUGGGGGUUUAAUACAAAGACACAUGAUGUAAAAGGUGGAAACUGAGUCUUUGCACUUUAAAAGGAAAAUAAAAUCUCUGUUUGUUUUAAGCAACUACACUGUGACUUGCAUCCUGAGUGGGUGGAGGCAACUUAAAUCCUGAAGAGGUGUGGUUAAAGUUCAUCCCUAUGCUUUAGGUUUCUUUGAACCUAGCCUGGCUAGGCUUUGGGCAGGUUUUGAGACAUAUGACUCCAUCCAAGCUGCAAUUGUAACACCCUGCUGGCUGUGUUUGCAGGAGUUACAUGAAGUGCUUCAGCUUGAACUGAAUUAUUGA